rnacentral:RNase_P_RNA from 1 species
CUACAAACCCGCGCUAUCGUGGUGCUUUGCACUAAGGAAAGUCUGGACAGCGUAGGGCAGCUCACCGGUGAACAGCCGGCUUCCGCUUGCGGAAAGAGAAAGUGCCACAGAAAAUUACCGUCUCUACAGCAAUGUAGAGGUAAGGGUGAAAACGUGAGGUAAGAGCUCACGGUAGUACAGGGUAACCUGUAUUACGGGUAAACCUUGGGCGCUGUAAUGCCAUGUAUAGGUGCGUUAGAGGGCGGCUCGUCCGAGUCUUGCAAAAGCGCGUACCAGGGUAGGCAGCAACAGGUAAACAGUAAUGUUUAUCGCAGAUAAAUGAUAGUGUAGAAACAGAAUCCGGCUUACGAGGUUUGUAGCAAC